GCCUGGUGGUUCCUAGAGUCAGCUCCAUCGUGCUGAACUCUAGGUUAUUAUUAACAGGCACAAAUUGAUUUCUGUGAUUUUAUGCAUGGAAGCUGUCUCCAUAGCAGCUCUCCAUAGCCCGGUUGCAGAGACACGA